UACGUAGGGGGCAAGCGUUGUCCGGAAUCAUUGGGCGUAAAGCGCGUGUAGGCGGCUUGGUAAGUCUGCUCUGAAAGCCCGGGGCUCAACCCCGGGAGGCGGGUGGAUACUGUCAAGCUCGAGUCCGGAAGAGGAGUGUGGAAUUCCUGGUGUAGCGGUGGAAAUGCGCAGAUAUCAGGAGGAACACCAAUGGCGAAGGCAGCACUCUGGGACGUGACUGACGCUGAGAGCGAAAG
rnacentral:rRNA from 1 species